UACGGAGGGUGCAAGCGUGAUCCGGAUUCACUGGGGUUAAAGGGUGCGUAGGUGGGUUGGUAAGUCAGUGGUGAAAUCUCCAAGCUUAACUUGGAAACUGCCGUUGAUACUAUCAAUCUUGAAUCUCGUGGAGGUAAGCGGAAUAUGUCAUGUAGCGGUGAAAUGCUUAGAUAUGACAUAGAACACCGAUAGCGAAGGCAGCUUGCUACACGAGUAUUGACACUGAGGCACGAAAGCGUGGGGAUCAAACAGG
rnacentral:rRNA from 1 species